rnacentral:sRNA from 1 species
CUCCUCAGUCAUCUUUGAGCUCUCUUUGGGCUUUCCGAAAAGGUAUCACAUGCCCAGUUUGGCCUCACGGUCUAAAAGUUAUAAAGUCAUACAUUUUUAACAAAAAAAAAAGAGAAAAACCGAAAAAAAGAGGGAUGCAAUACGAGGACUUUCCACGAGGUCACCCAUCCUAGUACAACUCUCGCCAAAGCAUGCUUAACUGCGGAGUUUAGAUGGGAUCUGGUGCAUUAGUGCUGGUAUGAUCGCAUCUGUUACUACAUGCAAUGCAAUCGUAUCUAUUCUUAUUUAAAGACUUUAU